CCUUGACCGAUCCAAAAGUGCGGGACAAGUGCUUUUUCGCGUCGAAUAUCUGGAUCUUUUUUCCGGCGAGCGUCGUCCACGCGCCCGGUGCCGGGUUGCAGCCGCGAAUCAGGUUGUAAAUGAAAUCGACGUGAUUGGCCCAAUUGAUGCGCGCCUCGGCGGCGCGGCACCAUCCUUCAUAGCUCGCCUGCGCCUCGUCCUGCACCGCCUCGGUCUGUCUGCCGGCGAUGACGAGGUCGGCGGCCUCGAGCAUCGCGGCAACGCCCAUCGGAAACAGGCGAUCGAAGUAGACGCUGCC
rnacentral:misc_RNA from 1 species